UACAGAGGUCUCAAGCGUUGUUCGGAUUCAUUGGGCGUAAAGGGUGCGUAGGCGGCGCGGUAAGUCGGGUGUGAAAUCUUGGAGCUUAACUCCGAAACUGCAUUCGAUACUGCCGUGCUUUGAGGACUGGAGAGGAGACUGGAAUUUACGGUGUAGCGGUGAAAUGCGUAGAUAUCGUAAGGAAGAACCAGUGGCGAAGGC
rnacentral:rRNA from 1 species